AACGCACAUUGCGCCCUUUGGUAUUCCACUGGGCAUGCCUGUUCGAGCGUCAUCUACACCUUCGAGCCCCGCUCGGUGUUGGGUGUCUGUCUGUCCUGCAGACUCACCUCAAAUCCAUUGGCGGUGGCCCGCCUAGCUUCCUGUGCAGCGCAUGCAACUUGCGAGCUGUCGCGGGCCCACAUCCACCAAGACCAUCGCGAUUUGACCUCGAAUCAGGUAGGGAUACCCGCUGAACUUAA
rnacentral:misc_RNA from 1 species